UACGAAGGGGGCUAGCGUUGCUCGGAAUUACUGGGCGUAAAGGGCGCGUAGGCGGCACUGUUAGUCAGGCGUGAAAGUCCUGGGCUCAACCCGGGAACUGCGCUUGAUACGGCAGAGCUAGAGGAUGGAAGAGGCUCGCGGAAUUCCCAGUGUAGAGGUGAAAUUCGUAGAUAUUGGGAAGAACACCGGUGGCGAAGGCGGCGAGCUGGUCCAUUACUGACGCUGAGGCGCGACAGCGUGGGGAGCAAACAGG
rnacentral:rRNA from 1 species